UACGGAGAGUGCAAACGUUGUUCGGAUUGACUGGGCGUAAAGGGCACGUAGGCGGCUCGGCAAAUCGGUCGUGGAAUCCCGACGCUUACCGUCGGAACGGCGGCCGAAAAUACCGGGCUCGAGGGCGUGAGGGGUCACUGGAACUCCUGGUGAAGCGGUGAAAUGCGUAGAUAUCAGGAGGAACGCUGGAGGCGAAAGCGGCAUCCUGGACCGACAUUGACGCUGAUGAGCGAAAGCUAGGGGAGCAAACGGG
rnacentral:rRNA from 1 species